rnacentral:piRNA from 1 species
UUCUCCUGAGCCGCCACUGCAGUUUCUGU